UGGUUCUGGCAUCGAUGAAGAACGCAGCGAAAUGCGAUAAGUAAUGCGAAUUGCAGAAUUCAGUGAGUCAUCGAAUCUUUGAACGCACAUUGCGCCCUUUAGUAUUCUGAAGGGCAUGCCUGUUCGAGCGUCAUUAUCACUAUUCAAGCCUGGCUUGCUGUUGGACCGCUCGUCGGUGAAAGUCGACUGGCCCUAAAGAUAAUGACGGCGUUAUUUGGACCCUAGAUGCAACGAGCUUUCAUUAGCACGCGUUUAGUUUGGACCUUUUAACCCGGUCGUUUUAUAACCAAUUUCUAAGGUUGACCUCGGAUCAGGUAGGAAUACCCGCUGA
rnacentral:misc_RNA from 1 species